UUUACCUACGGGGCGCAGCAGUGGGGAAUAUUGCACAAUGGGGGAAACCCUGAUGCAGCGACGCCGCGUGAGUGAAGAAGUAUUUCGGUAUGUAAAGCUCUAUCAGCAGGGAAGAAAAUGACGGUACCUGACUAAGAAGCCCCGGCUAACUACGUGCCAGCAGCCGCGGUAAUACGUAGGGGGCAAGCGGUAUCCGGAUUUACUGGGAGUAUAGGGAGGGUAGGUGGCAUGGUAAGCCAGAAGUGAAAACCCG
rnacentral:rRNA from 1 species